rnacentral:misc_RNA from 1 species
UGGUGCGCCCUUCGCUCCCUUUUAUUUGUUCUCUCUCUCACGCUUACUCCGCUCUGUAUGCACCCACACACUCACGUAUGCGCACACGAACGCCCGCACACGCACUCGAACCGUGUCUGCAGCAACUCAAGGUGAAGCGAGGUAUCCUGGUGGUAGUCCACAUAGAGGCAUAACACGUCCUGCAUGCUGCGAUCGCCGCUGCCGCCGCCUUUCAUCUCUUUCCCCUUUUCUGAUCAGCGAAGAGCAGGGGGCGCGCUCGGCACGUGCCAUUCAGCUUGCGUCCUUCCGACCGCUGCCGUCAUUGAUCUCCCCGACAUUGGUCGAUAUAUAUAAUAUAUAUAUAAUAUAUAUUAUAUAUAUAUAUAUUAUAUACGCGCACAUACCCAUACAGGUAAUUAGAAAAAGGCGGUUGCUCUUCAUCUCUCCUACACGCACUCUCUUCCUUUGUAGCCGGUUUCGCUCUCACUGUACUUCCCUUUGGUUUCUCUCUCUGUGUGCGUGUGCGCACGUCACCAGACUUGCCUUCUCGCUGCGCCGCCAUCUUUGGCGUUGUUCGUCUUUUGGCUACCGCACGUAGAGCUCUCGUUUUACUCGUUGAUUCCACUUCCUUUUUUUUUUCUGUGCUUAUUCAACGGCUGCGCGCCUGUCUUUACUCUCUCCUGCGCUUCGCCACGCACCCACCGCACUCACCUCCCGGAGGGACAUCUCUCAAUCACCAUGGGUCGUGGUGCAGCUCAAGAGGUAUACCCUGAUGACGGGCACAUCUUUGUGUGCGUGCGCAUCCGAAAUGUGCCACAGAAUGCGGCGUGCUUAACCAAUAACGGCGGUGCUGCGACGAACACCCGCUCCUCCACGGUCGCGCGCAAGUCAGUGCUGCGCGAGGCGCAGCGGAUUUGCGUAUCUGUGGUGGAAAAUGUGGUGGUGAUGCAUGAUCCCACGUCGAUCGACGACACCGCUACUGUCGCGAAGGACGGCAACAACGUCGUGCAGAUGCUGACCGACCGCGCGAACCAUGCUGGCGCUGCUCGAAACUCUCGCAAAACCGCUGGUGGUGGCGGCGCGGCUGCCGGCGCGUCAGGCAUCAGUUCCCGCCGGACCGUAGGUGGCGCUCGCGCUACCACUGCCGGCGACGCCCGCCUCGUGUCCACCAGCACCGCCAAUUACUACGAGUGCGACUAUUGCAUCGCAUCGAUGGAAGAGUCGCAGCUGCUGCAGAUGCCGUUGAUUCGCACAAGUGACUUCCUUCAGCCGCCGCCGUACGGGACGCAGGAGGAGGUGUACCAGCGCACCGCGAUGCACGCCGUCAAGGCCGCCAUAGACGGCAUCAAUUCGUGCGUCUUCGCCUACGGCCAGACGGGCAGUGGCAAGACCUACACGCUCUUCGGCGACACGACGAACAUUCGCCGUGACCCCGGCGUUGUGCCGCGCACUCUGGACGACUUGUUUGGCCGCCUGGAGGCGGUGAAGCAGUCGUACCGGAGCGACAAGGUGACAGACUACUCGUACCUUGUGCACCUCUCCUUCUACGAGAUCUACCAGAACGAGGUUUAUUGUCUCUUCUCUCGCCAGGGCCCACUGCGUGUGCAGUUCGUCCGAGAUCUGACGGGGAAGAGGGAGACGAUGAUCAUCCACGACCUGCAGCAGCAGACGGUGACCUCGGCCGAGAAGGCAUACCCGAUGAUCGAGAUGGGUCUGCGCCGGCGGCAGACCGCCGAGACGGGUAUGAAUGCACACAGCAGUCGCAGCCACGCCAUUCUGCAGAUCCGCGUCGCCCAGUACCGCACCAACCGUGACGCGCGAGAGACUGUGGAGCACCAGGCGACGAUCAACCUGGUGGACCUCGCUGGCAGCGAGCGGCAAAAGACGGCGAACACAAGCGGGACGAACCGUGCGGAGGGCAUUCAGAUUAACCAGUCACUCGCCACUCUGGCACGCGUCAUCAACGACAUCGCGAGCGGGGCGAGGUUUGUGAACUACCGCGACUCGUUGUUGACGAUGGUUCUCAAGGACAACCUUGGUGGCAACAGCAAGACGUUUAUGAUCGCCAACAUCUCGCCCAUCGCCUUCAGCUACCAGGAAUCCUGCGCGACCCUCACAUACGCGAAGGACGUGCGCAAGGUCCGCAACCGGCCGAUGGUGAACAAGACCUUCCAAACGCGCGCGAACCUGCUGGAGCAGAAUAUGAUGCUGAAGCAGGAGAACGAGAAGCUGAAGGUGCAGAUGGAGAUGUGGGUGAGGAGCCUGCAGAGCGGCAACCUGCACGCCUCCGUGACGGACAUGGUGGCCUUGUUGCCUGUCCUGGGAGGCGGCACGGCGGAGGCUGGCGACCAUCUGCUGCCGUCACCGCCGCUGCCGAUGGCGCAGGCUGUCGAAACCGAGCAGCGUCGUGCCGCCGAUGUACCGCUGGCCGCAGCCGGGCGCAACGAGGCCUUCCUGACCGCCAUCAGCAGCGGGCUGACAGCGCCGCUGCUAAUAUCGUCCCACCGCAAGUACACGAGCAUGGCGGGGAUCGGGGGCUCGUGCAUUGAGGGCGGCGCUGUCCGCGUCUCGGCACUGGUGAAGGAGGCGAUGGAGUUCCCGCUGAGUCAUGUGUUGCAUCCGCUGCCGACUAUGGCGGCCGGUGACACCUCGUACACCACCGACGAGGACAGCCAUGGCGCCCAGAAGCGUCACACCACCAUCCUAAUGGAUGCAGACGCGAGCUCGCUGGGGCGCGCGAGUGGUGAGGCCGCGCAACGGCCGGACGCCGCAGGGGAGGCUGCAGCGAUGGCGGGGGAGGUGAUGGGCCUGGGGUCGCUGGUGUUGGAGCGCGUGGCUCAGCGCUCAUGCGAGCAGCGGUACUAUGUCCACUUCAAGCCACCCACCACUGCUGAGGGCCUCUCGCGCCUCAUCGACGUCCAGGUCAAUGGCAAGAGCAUCGGGGCGAAGGGUCGGCGUGAACUGCACCACGGCGACGUAGUCUGCGCCUACCUCGAGGACGCGGCGAAGAUGGAGGCGGCGGCGGCGGAGACGGCGGCCAGCGCCUGUCUGCACACCCAAAGUCUCAUUUCUUUCCACUACGUCGACCUCAACGCGCUCUCGCGUGGCGCGAACGCGUCCAUGACCGGCAUGAGCAGUGCCACGCUUGGCCAAAUCGCGGUCUCGGUCGACCUUCCGGCGGACAUGGAGAACCUCACCUUGGAUGGCAUCAAGCAGUUGCAACGCGACAACGCAAAGCUGCUGGACAUGGUACGCCAGCAGGCAGAGACGAUCGACUACCAGUGCGCCCACGCCAGCACGCCGAUGAUGCAGGUGGAGGACCUGCUGGGGGGCAUCUCGCCGGCCGGCAGCCCUGGCUCCGGGUCGCCGAACCCGCGCUCGCUGGAGCCGAGCAUCUCAGCAUUGCCGCCGCCGGAGACACACAAGGUGGCCGUUGCCCUCGAAGCCUUCCGCCGCGUGUCUGUCUCCCCGUCUAUCCGCGGUGGGUCCGUCAUGCCAGCUGACCUGGAGGCGGACGAGCUGCUGCAUCGCGCGGCAACGCAGAGCGAGUCGAAACAGCGCCUCGACAACGCUGUUCGCGAGAACCAGAAGCUGCAUCGCACCGUCGUGUCGCGCAACGCCACUCUGGACGCGCUGGCGCGACGCCUUGCCGAGCUGGAGGCUGGCGGGCCGCUCAACUCGCUGACCAGCCCAUCGCCGUCCUCUUUGGCGUCUUCGUCGUCGAACACCAGUCUUUCGGCUGAUAGGGGUUACAAUGGCGAGACGCUGGCCGGCAGGCGCGCUGAUAGCGUCGAGGACGACACAGAUGUGUCGAGGCGCACAAGGGGAGACCGUGGAAGCCUCACAUGCGUGUCCUCGCCUUCACAGAUGCGCGCCGUCUCUGCGCAGCGUCGGGGCGAGGAAAUCGUCGAGGCCGACGAUGAUGACGAGCCCCGUCCGGAGCCCAUCGGAGACGGCCAGAGGCGCAUCGUGUAUGAGAACGCUGAGGGCGCACGUGAGCGCUAUCAGGCGGUGGUGCGGGAGCGAGAGCAGUUUGAUCGCAUCCUCGAGCUGGAGGCUCUCAUCGGUGAGCUGCGCGAGCGAAUCAGCGAGCUGGAGAGCCGCUUGCGCUUUUCCAAGGACGAGACGCUGGAGCAGCAGAUGUUCCGCGAGCAGGCCGAGGCGGAACGUGACGCGCUGCUCGAGGAGCUGGCGAACACGCGUUGUGAGAACUCGGCGCUGCGCCGCGAGAACGCCAGCCUCGAAGGCUUUCUUGCCAGGGAUGAGCAGGCGCUCGCGGACGCCGCGCGCCUCGCAGACGAAGAGCUGGAGCGGCAGACCGCCGUGCUGGCCGACCGUAUCAAAGCGCUCAAGGCGCUCUCCCGCAUGUGGAAGCAGCGCACCAUGAAGUACAUCGCGAUGGGCUAUGGUGCCGGCAGCGACGACAAGCACACCGGCAGCGCUGGGGCCGCGCACCUUGAAGCCAUUCCAUGGGACGACCUGCGCGCCGCAGAGACGGCUGCCAUAGCGAAGCGGCGCCUUGGUAGGGGUGACGCGGACGCCUGUCCGGUUGAUGUGGCGCAGGCCAUCGACGACUUUGAGAAGUCCACGACUGAGGACAACGUGCGCGCGCUCGAGUACGCGUUGCUCAACUUUGAGCAGGAAAACCAGCGGCUGCUGGACGAGAUCCGGCGCAUCCAGGCGGAGCUGGACGGGUACAAGGGCCUCAUUGGGCGCCUCCGGGCGGAGAAGGCGGAGACGGAGAAGACCCUGGCGGACGCGACGGACUCCACCGAGGAGGAGCGCCGCCGCAUGCAGCAACUUCUGCGCAACACCAACGCGCAGCUGGAGGAGGCGGAGGAAAAUCUGAAGCGGACGCAGGUUCGCCUGGAUGACGCGAUGGAGAUGUGCGAGAGCAAUAAGCGCAAGGCCGUGAGGAACAAUGAGUUACUGCUGUCUCAGCAGAAGCGUACUAUCGAGCAGCUGGAGGCGGAGCUGUGUCGCCUGCGUCGCGACCAUGCGGCCAAGGACGAGGAACUCACGAACCUGACGCGGUACAUGCAGGACCGUGAUGCGCUCGGCGGCGACGGCGUGGCGAAGAGCUGCGAGCUGCGCUCUCGCAUCGAGGAGCUGGUCAGCGACUCGAUGGAGGAGUACGAGGCGCCGAACGGGUACUCGGUGUUCCCUGCGGGCUUUGAGUUCUCGAACGAGAUGGUGUCACUCAUCCGCAUUUGCCUCCGUAUCUUGCUUGACCGGCUCAAGAUGGAGCUGUACGUGCUCAACGCGCAGAGCGUGCACAAAUUCCAGCUCCUGAUCCACGCUGUGAAGGCGCGCACGGAGGCGCACUUUCACACCUUCAUGCACCAGCUGCGCGACGCCGUCUCGCAGAUGUCAGGGCGCACGUUGCGGCCUGGCAGCAAGUGGGGCCUGUCCGAGUCGGACGUCCUCUCAACCCUCGUUGAUCACCGCCGCCGCCAGGUGGGCGACGCGCUGAGCGGUUUGCUAAUCUGGUAUGACCACUGGGACAACGCCCCAAAGACAGAGCAUGUCGCCUACAUGGAGCUGAUCCGCAACGCCGACCGCAUCAUGCAGAUGGCCCGCAUUGUGCGCCGCGAGAGCUUCCUGAACACGAAUGCGACGUCCACUUCGCUGAUGCCGAUCCCCGGCAAGAGCGGCACAAGUGACACCUCGCUCCUCCCAGAGUCGUCGCGCCGCAAUGAUAAGACUGUAAAGGGGAGCUGCAAGAUUCUCUCUCGCCUUGCGUCGUCCACCCGACAGAGCAACCUGGCACGCGCCGUGAAUCAGUUCUCCGCGACGCCUUCGCGAGCCACGAUCGCCGUCCGCGAGGACGUCGUCGGCGCCACGCCGUGCCCGGUGGAGCAGGGCGCGACCCCGUUCAGCCGCAGCGCAACGGUAGCGGCGCUGGCACUCUCGCAAAGCAUGAUCCCCUUUAGCAGAACAGCCACUGGAACGCACACUAGCGGGCACCAGCCGCCAUCAGCUGCGAACCUGGAGAGCUGCUCGCUCUUCAGCCGUUGUCCCUCUGGGCUUCCGCGGGUGUCCGCCACGACGGCGACGGCUACCGGCCUCUCGCCUCGGCCGAACCCGUCAACGGUCACACCUAUGCGACCCAUAAAGCAGGCCACGAGCGUCGGUGCCGCGACGCCUGCGGCUGCGCUGGCAACUGGUGCGUCACCCGCCGCUCUGACAGCAGCCGCGCGCGCCAACUACUCGCGCAUGGCCUCCGCGGGCGUGCUGCCGGUGUUGGAGGCGGAUGUGGCUUACGUGGCGAACACCGACGUUGCCGAGGCUGUGUCUAUCAGCACCUAUAACUUCUCCCGUCGCAUGAGCUCGGCGGCGGGGGCCGGUGAAGGCGCCGCAGCCGACAAGGGCGAGCCAGUGCGUCGACCGAACCGCCUCUUCUCCCGAUGCCAGACGGCGAUCCCCCAAACGCGGGACUCCAUGCAGCAGCAGCAGCGCGCACUGCGCCGCCAGAACUCUGCAACGCUGGCUUCGUCCAAGACCCACAGCAGCGCUGGUGCGACUUGUACGCGCAGGCAGGUGAGCCGUGCAAAGGCAACAGAGGCGUUUGCGAGGUCGAAGACAUACUACACAGUGCCGAAGUCGACCGCAACGCUGAGCCGACCAAGCCGCCGCAGAUCUGGCGUUCGGGUCAGCACCAACAGUAGCACUCGUAGCACCGGCAGCCUCGGCGGGGGUUCGCCGCAUGCGCGGCCAUCCUCGUCGCAGCACAAUGCGACGCGACUCUCUGCCUUCUACAGCAUUCCCCCAGCGGAGCAGGCGCGCGGAUCGGGCAAGGGACGUGCGAGCAUGCUGAGCAGCAACGCUACCACGAAGCCGUCUGCGGCAGAGAUCUCGUUCUGCAACCUGGACGUCAUGAAGUCGUUGAGGGAACGAAGCACGAGCGACGUGAACCGCCAGGUGCCAACGGGCAACAAGCCCAGCUCGAUUUCGAAUAGGGUAGAUCUCACGAAUAUCAGUAGCGUGCACCCGAGGAAGGGCAUGGCGCAGCCAGUGCCAUCGUCGACCGGUGCACGCGUGAGCGCUGGCCACGACACCACUUUGGUGAGCACCACUCCGGUGGUGCCGAGGCUCGAUUUUGGGGCCCUGGAAGGAAAGCGCUGAGGGCACUCGCGGAGAGUGGCGGCUCGAUUAUUCUUUUUGUUUUUCCUUUGUGCGUGCCCGCGUGCGCGUCUGUGGCUCAGUGGGGCGUGUCUUCCAGAAGAGGUGUGCGUGUAGGGGGGAGGGAGGGGGAGAGAGAGCGAGUGGCGCGUGGCACGUGGUGCUGUGAUCGGAAGAGAAGCACACACACACACACACACACACGCACAUACACACACACACUAAAACAAGCGAUAACCUACGGACGGGCCAUCGUUUGCCGCCACCGUUGCGAGUACGACGACCUCCUGCUUCCUCGCCUCAGCUAUUAUCCAGCUUUCCUUCUCCCUCUCCAUUUGGGGACACCAAGCACGUGUGCGCGUGUGUGCCAGGCGAGAGGGAGAUUUUGAGGCGGGGACAACAGAUACAGAGUCACGCGCACACACGCGGUGGGUCGUUUUGUUUGGUUUCGUGCUUUUUCCCUUUUCCUGUACCCACUCACGCUGUCAUGAGCACACCGUCCAUCACAUAUUUGUUUGUAUAUGUGCGUGUAUAUAUAUAUAUAUAUUUCGCCGCUUUACUUCUUGUUCGGUGCGUUGUUGUCGGGGUCUGCGUCAUUUUCCUUAGGUACGCCACAUCCCCCGGUCCACCUCCAAUGCUUUCAUGAGCCACUCUUCUCCCCCUCCUUUCCCUCCUCCACGCACACACGCACGCACACAUCGACAGGAUAACAGCAGAUAUAUAUGCGCAUGUGUGUGUGUGUGUGCGUGCGUGUGCGGGCCUCUACUUCUUUUCAUUUGUUGUUUUGUGGUGUGGCAUUGCUUACCGUUUCGUUGUACCUUUAUGUUAGAGUCCAUCGAUAAAAACGCAUGUACAUGUAUAUACAUGCAUGCCUGUAUGGGGUGUGCGCGCGCGUAUGCUCUUGUGCGCUUUUGCUGUACCUUUUUCUUUUUCUUUGCCCUCCCCCCUUUUUCUUCUCUCGCUUCAUGAUUGGCGCAUACACACACACAUAUAUAUAUAUAUAUAUAUAUAUAUAUGUGUGUGUGCGUGUGUGUGCGUGUGUGUGCGUGUGUGUGUGUGUAUGCGUAUGGGCGUGCAGGCACUUCCACCCUUGCUCAUGUGUCUUUCAUUCCUCUCCUCGAGCGCUUUUCCGCCUCUCCUCCACCACCUUCACUACUCGCCCUCGCGGCUGUUUCGGUGGCAUGCUGGUGCUUGAGCACUGUUCUCACUCAAGAUUCGCAAGCACGGACGCCAAACCCCUUCCCUGUAUUAGAUCUUCGCUUCGCACGCUUUCGCUUGGCCUUCUUCCGUUUUCACUUGUUAGUGCCUUUUCGAGUGUGUGAGCUGGCCCGAACAGGCAGAGCGCUUUAGAAUAGGAAAGGGUACUUGCAACCACUCUCCCGGCGUCUGCGAGUCUCUCUCUCCUUGUCCUUCGUCGGGCACGCUAGAUGUUCUCUCUGUGUCUAUCUUCUUCCUUUAUCUACAUGUACGCGUGCGUGUGCGUGUGCGUGUCUGUUUCGUGCGAGCCGUCACCAUCAUCACCGCCCACGCCCUCCAUUGUGCGCUCUCCGCCGCGCGCAUUUUCCUUUGUUGUUUUCUCAUUCAUUCCCGUAUUAUUAUUUUUGUUGUGUACGCUGCACACGCACACGCUCUUGUUUCCAGUCCUCGAAUCACUAAACGUCUGAAGCAUGAUCGGAGGAACCGAAGAAGCCACACCUACACGGGAGAGUGAGGGGGGUGGAGGAGGAGGAAGAGGUCCUCUUCCCCCCUCAUCCCACAGACACACUACCACACAGGGCACGAGGAUACGCGGAAAAAAAAACGAUGAAGAGCAGAGAGGCAGAGAUGCACGAGGGGUACAUGCGUAUGGAGGGAGCGAUUGAGAGACGGCACCGUCCUCAUGUUUUGCUGCUCGCUUCUCUCUUGCACCCGUCUCUUCGAUUUCCCCUCCAUUCCCCUCUCCCUCUCGUGCCGCUGCGUUUUGGAUGGUCAGAGUAGUGUGCUCGAUAUGCACAUCUCUCUGCUUGUGUGCCUGCCUGCGUGUGCUUCGAGAAGAGGAUUGUACGCCAAAUCCUCCCCUGUGCCGGCGCGCUGUCAUGCAGCUCCUUCCUGUGACAUGUGCACAUCAGCGUAUAAUUCAUGGCGCUAUCCGUCUCUCCCUCUCUCUCCCUGGCGGAUACCUCCCGACGCGUCUUCUUCAUGUCCUCUUCUCGCGCUUCUCUCUCGCUGCUCAUGCCUCGUUCAUCGCACCAUCAUCGCAAUACGUUGCCACGCGUGCAUGCAUGUACGCCCUAAAACCUUUCCGAUUCUGUUGCCCUUCUUUUUUUUUUGCCUUUCGGCACCCUUACACUCCCCUUUUUCCCGCGCGUGUGUGCGCACGUCUUUAACGCUGUCCCCCCUUUCUUUUGCUCAG